rnacentral:sRNA from 1 species
UGUCUAGUGUUGUAGGUGAAACGAAGGCGCUGUUUAUCCGAAUGACGCCAUUGGUUGACACAAAACACUGCAGUGUAGUUUAAAUUUAGCUCCGCCUAUUUAAUGACAGAAUACUUUAGUGUGGAUUAACUCAUUGUAUGCUUCUGCACCACAGUGUCGAGUGAGAGAGAGAGAGAGCGAGCUGGCGCACGAGCGUGGUGAUGCCAAGGAGAUACUUUUCACAGCGCAAUUACACAUGUAUGUUGUGAGUCCAGGUUUCAGCACGCGCUGGAAGUUAUCAGACAGUCACGCGAUGUGCAGGAUAAAUGCUUGCCUGGCAAUGUGAAACAUGUCUAAAGCAUGCAUAAGACUAUCACAUCAGUGUUUUCAAAAUAAAAAGUUCCAAUUGUGGCCUGAUCACAGACAUCUGUUAUACUUAGACUGGACAUGGAACUCUCUAGCACUACACAUAACUGUGGUGAGAAACUUCCAAAAAGCUGAAACAAGGCGUUGUUUUGUCAAGUUGCUUCCUAGAAUUAUGAACAAGGUCAAGGGCACACAAAAAUCACUACAUUUAAUAAGCACUAGCCAUGGACGUGGACAAGGUCUGAUAAGCAUGACACUUUCAAGGGGAGAUAAAGACAGAAAAAACUUUUAAAGAUAUAACGACAAAAACAAAAAAAAA